rnacentral:rRNA from 1 species
CCUACGGGGGGCAGCAGUGAGGAAUAUUGGUCAAUGGACGGAAGUCUGAACCAGCCAUGCAGCGUGCAGGAAGACGGCUCUAUGAGUUGUAAACUGCUUUUGUACAAGGGUAAACCUGAAUACGUGUAUUCAGCUGAAAGUACUGUACGAAUAAGGAUCGGCUAACUCCGUGCCAGCAGCCGCGGUAAUACGGAGGAUCCAAGCGUUAUCCGGAUUUAUUGGGUUUAAAGGGUGCGUAGGCGGAUUGAUAAGUUAGAGGUGAAAUGUCCGAGCUUAACUCGGGAACUGCCUCUAAUACUGUUGAUCUAGAGAGUAGAUGCGGUAGGCGGAAUGUAUGGUGUAGCGGUGAAAGGCUUAGAGAUCAUACAGAACACCGAUUGCGAAGGCAGCUUACCAAUCUAUAUCUGACGUUGAGGCACGAAAGCGUGGGGAGCAAACAGGAUUAGAUACCCUUGUAGUC